rnacentral:rRNA from 1 species
CAGCAGCCGCGGUAAUACGAAGGGGGCUAGCGUUGUUCGGAAUUACUGGGCGUAAAGCGCACGUAGGCGGAUAUUUAAGUCAGGGGUGAAAUCCCGCAGCUCAACUGCGGAACUGCCUUUGAUACUGGGUAUCUUGAGUAUGGAAGAGGUAAGUGGAAUUCCGAGUGUAGAGGUGAAAUUCGUAGAUAUUCGGAGGAACACCAGUGGCGAAGGCGGCUUACUGGUCCAUUACUGACGCUGAGGUGCGAAAGCGUGGGGAGCAAACAGGAUUAGAUACCCCCGUAGUCCCUGUCUCUUAUAC